GGGGAUUUAGCUCAGUGGCAUAAGCACCUGCCUUGCAAGCAGGUGUCAUGAGUUCGAUCCCCG
rfam:Cavia porcellus supercont2_25 genomic scaffold, whole genome shotgun sequence.